GUAGCUUGCUACCUAACCUAGCGGCGGACGGGUGAGUAAUGCUUAGGAAUCUGCCUAUUAGUGGGGGACAACAUUCCGAAAGGAAUGCUAAUACCGCAUACGCCCUACGGGGGAAAGCAGGGGAUCUUCGGACCUUGCGCUAAUAGAUGAGCCUAAGUCAGAUUAGCUAGUUGGUGGGGUAAAGGCCUACCAAGGCGACGAUCUGUAGCGGGUCUGAGAGGAUGAUCCGCCACACUGGGACUGAGACACGGCCCAGACUCCUACGGGAGGCAGCAGUGGGGAAUAUUGGACAAUGGGCGAAAGCCUGAUCCAGCCAUGCCGCGUGUGUGAAGAAGGCCUUUUGGUUGUAAAGCACUUUAAGCGAGGAGGAGGCUACUUGGAUUAAUACUCUAGGAUAGUGGACGUUACUCGCAGAAUAAGCACCGGCUAACUCUGUGCCAGCAGCCGCGGUAAUACAGAGGGUGCGAGCGUUAAUCGGAUUUACUGGGCGUAAAGCGUGCGUAGGCGGCUUUUUAAGUCGGAUGUGAAAUCCCUGAGCUUAACUUAGGAAUUGCAUUCGAUACUGGGAAGCUAGAGUAUGGGAGAGGAUGGUAGAAUUCCAGGUGUAGCGGUGAAAUGCGUAGAGAUCUGGAGGAAUACCGAUGGCGAAGGCAGCCAUCUGGCCUAAUACUGACGCUGAGGUACGAAAGCAUGGGGAGCAAACAGGAUUAGAUACCCUGGUAGUCCAUGCCGUAAACGAUGUCUACUAGCCGUUGGGGCCUUUGAGGCUUUAGUGGCGCAGCUAACGCGA
rnacentral:rRNA from 1 species